rnacentral:lncRNA from 1 species
UUUGAAUAAGGUAUUGACGACAAUCGGCUUGCAUUUCAUAAUGCAUGCAGACACGGUAGGGACAAGAUAGAUCGGAUAUUAAUUUAAACUUAAAACAUUAGGUACAAAAUGCGGAUGUCACUAGCCUUCCUUGCUCUUUCAUUCGCCAUUACUUACAAUGAAUUUCAAGAGGUACUGUCACUUUCUCGUGUCACUCCGUUUAAAGGGAUAUCGUCUCUAGGAGGAAGAUCGUGCCCAGUGAACUACGUUGUCUUCGAGCUCGAGAACAGUUUGAGUAGCAUACACUGCGCCCGGAUUUGUCACUCCGACCCCACAUGUCUUGGAGUGUUUUUUUCAGCCGGAAACACUGACAUGUGUCGGAUGUUUGACUGACAACGAGACUGAACUCCUGUCUACGUCACCAUCACCAUCACUGUACUUUAGAGCUGGUACAAGAACAUGUUUUAAGUUUUCUUGCUAUCUGGUUGUUCAGACUGUUCAGAGCUGGGACGCUGCAAAGGAUCACUGUGCGUCGAUGGGAGGAUUUUUAGCUGACAUAAAAUCGAAAGAAGAACAGGAUUUCCUAAGCAAAACUCUUCUGUCGAAUAACAACAACAUGGCUCUUAGUUUCUUCACUUGGAUUGGAGGCACGGACCGUGAAAAAGAAAGCGUGUUUGUUUGGCUAGAUGGUACAUCGAUAGGCUAUGAGAACUGGGAACCCGGAGAACCAACCAAUUCACAAUCGGUGGAACAUUGCGUAGUAUUAUCGCAUCGCGAUAACAACAAAUGGAAUGAUAAGAAAUGCGAUGCUCAGCUAUCAAGUAUUUGUGAAUUCAAAUAAACACCCAUUAUCUAUUAUAAUAAUGAAAGUUUGCAAAGCUUUCCCAGUUGCAAAGAAAACAUUUAUAUUCAACCUGAAAACUUGAAAUUUAUGAAUUAUUUUUCUCACGAAAUAGUCAUUUUGACGAAUACUACGAAAUUUCGUGUCCACGAAAUUAAAUUGUGCCACAGAUUUUUAUAUAAAGUAUAACUUCUGAAAGUGAGAACACUGUUUUGGUUUGUCGUAAGAGAAAACUGUCGGAACCAUACCGUUUGUUUCAGCUAUACAAUAAAUGAUGUUUCUAGUAGAAUCAAAUCAACCGGCAUCCUAAUGGCACAAGAGGAAACAGCUAACAAAUCGGUGUGGGGACCUCAUUAAAAUUUUCUAGUCUAAAAUUGAAUGGAAAUGACGCAAAAGCCACUUAAUUUAAUGUUUAUUUAUGUCAGCCACAGAAAUAUGCAAGCAGAGAUAUAAGUUAUUUCCAGCUUCUGUCGUAUGCAUUAGGCACAGUCGAUAGUGACACGGAAAUUGUUUCAUUCAAUGUAUUCUUGCAAUAUAGUAGUACUAUUGAAAUCUUCAGCAGUCAUCGUUUAUUUAGUAUUGGUCUGUACUAUAAAAUAGUGUAUGAAUAUUGGUUCGUCAUGUAAACUUUUUAUUUUUAUUGUAAUAAAUUUAAGAAUAACAAAUGGCCAGUGUAGUAAAAGAAUUUCAAAAGAAAUAUUUGCCCUUGUUGUAAUAAUUUCGGAAUGACUAUUGGCCCGCAAUGUAAAAAAUUCUAAAAUUAACUAUUGACCCAUAAUGUAUAAAAAAUCUAAGUUAUUACUGAUCCAGUAUGUAAGAAAAUCUCAGACUGGAUUAUUGCAGAAUUAUCUCAAAUUAGUUUUUGCUCCGUAAUUUUAAAAUAUCAGAUUGACAGUUGUUCCAUAAUAGACAAAAAAACUUUUGGCAGAAUCACUUCUAAUACCUAAUGCAAAAAUAAUGUCAGGCUGUGAAGAAAAUGUACUGUCAAUUUAUUGUUUUUGUUCCCCCUAUAGCUUGAAAGAUAUUCAAAGUCUAUUUGAUGGAGAUGACGAAAAUGAAAAACCAAUACUUUUAUUUUGAAAAAUUUAUUUUCUUGCGGUAAGGAGUGUUUUUUUUUUGCGCUGUUGUUGUUGUUGUUGUUCCCUUUCAGUUGUAUGUGAAUAGUUUUGCAUGAUUCACCACACUCAUUAUUUCCAAUUGUCCCUCACAUAAAGUUAUUUUCUAAUCACUAAGCCGUAUUUGCAACAUUCAACCGUAAAAUAUCUUAUAUUGAAGACUAAUGUUGAUGUAGUGGAUACAAACAAAUAAUAUCAUUUAGAUUGGAUGGUUCAACUACAGUACUCAAACCGUUGACCGAUGAUAUUUUUUCCUCAAAAAACUCAAUAUGAAUUCUUUACCAGUUGUUUCAGUUAACUGGAUAUACAAAUAUACAAGUCUCUUCUAACUGAACUGCUUUUUUAAGAAAUGUAAGCAAAACGGAAAACAUUUUGAUUCGGACCAAACAGAAAAUUAUAUUAGAAUCGCCUAUGUCUUUCAACUGACUGCACGGUCAAAUACUCUUUUCUUAUUACAUACUUCCCGGUAAGUUACAAUGGUACCGGAAACGAUAAUAUAUUUACAUACAAUUUCAUAUCGGGUGCGUGACGUAAUUCAAUGUGUGUCAGGGCAGUAAUUAUUUUAAUUAGUUCAGUAUUUUCAAUCUUAUUCAGGCUAUUGAACAUAUUCAUAACAUUUACUUUACAUUUAUAUGUUCAGAUACGUAUGUAAUAAAAAGGUAAUUAUCUUUGCAUUCGGAAAUGUGCGCUAGUUCUUUAGCGAAAGAAUAUUGCGCUCCUAAAUUCGCGCAUUAUUUCUGCUGCAGAACUCGUGCAUAUUUCCCGAUACAAAGCUAAUUUAUAAUAUAAAUAUCAGUGGAAGAUGAAGAUCAUUGGAAAAUAGCCUUAUGUAGUAAAAUUGCAAAGAAAACCAGAUAUUUGCAUUGAUAAUUUGGUCACAUUUGAUAUAUUUGCGUAAUAAAAAUACAUGAUUUGUGCUUUCAAAUACUCUGUCAAUGUCGUAUUUGCGCGUAAAUGUUGUGAAAUUGUACCAUAAAAUAUCUUCAUAAGCAAAAAGCAGAAAUGUAGUGAAUAUUGCGUUAAUGUCCUUAGAAACUUAAUUGCAAAAAGUUUAUACGGCGAUUCUUUUCCGAGCUGUACAUG